GGGGAUUUAGCUCAGUGGUAGAGCGCUUGCCUAGGAAGCGCAAGGCCCUGGGUUCAGACCCCAGCUCCA
rnacentral:tRNA from 1 species